rnacentral:rRNA from 1 species
CAGCAGUCGCCGCGGUAAUACGUAGGGUGCAAGCGUUAAUCGGAAUUACUGGGCGUAAAGCGUGCGCAGGCGGUUAUAUAAGACAGAUGUGAAAUCCCCGGGCUCAACCUGGGAACUGCAUUUGUGACUGUAUAGCUAGAGUACGGCAGAGGGGGAUGGAAUUCCGCGUGUAGCAGUGAAAUGCGUAGAUAUGCGGAGGAACACCGAUGGCGAAGGCAAUCCCCUGGGCCUGUACUGACGCUCAUGCACGAAAGCGUGGGGAGCAAACAGGAUUAGAUACCCCGGUAGUCCCUGUCUCUUAUAC